UACGGGGGGAGCAAGCGUUGUUCGGAUUUACUGGGCGUAAAGCGCACGUAGGCGGACUAUUAAGUCAGGGGUGAAAUCCCGGGGCUCAACCCCGGAACUGCCUUUGAUACUGGUAGUCUUGAGUUCGAGAGAGGUGAGUGGAAUUCCGAGUGUAGAGGUGAAAUUCGUAGAUAUUCGGAAGAACACCAGUGGCGAAGGCGGCUCACUGGCCCGGUACUGACGCUUAAGAGCGAAAGCGUGGGGAGCAAACAGG
rnacentral:rRNA from 1 species